AUCUCUUUGCCUUUUGGCUUAGAUCAAGUGUAGUAUCUGUUCUUUUCAGUGUAACAACUGAAAUGACCUCAAUGAGGAUCAUUACCUUAACUAUUUUGUUACAACACGAUUUUUU
rfam:Candida glabrata strain CBS138 chromosome K complete sequence.